UUCCAUGAUGCUAGUGACACUUACGCUUCAGGGUCCCUCAUCAGUGUAAUGUGUUUACAUGCUCAUGUGUUUUCAUAUGGUUGGCAAAUGUAAGAGACUUUAACUAUAACCUGUUAAAAUCGCUGUUUCUUUCACCUCUGACUUGCCCCCUGUCAUAUUUCCCUCAUUUUGGUGGCAUCGGAAUGGCCACUUUGGAAACUAGCUAAGGGGCAGUUGAGUUGAGGCUGUGUUUGGUUUGGAUUUAGUAGAGAUGUAUUUGUAUGGAGUGUAGUUGCUUCUCUGUGUAAUUCACUUUUUGCUAGUUGUCACUGUGGAGCCAAGCUUUCAGGAAUGCCCUGCUGCUCACUGCACAGACAUAUUCUGUGUCAUCCCACGAGAGGCCCUUCGAAGCUGUAUGGAGACCUGAGCGGACGUGUCUCUGCUGCUUGGAACUGGAAGUCCAGGGAGAGUGGAAGAAAAACAAGGUCUAUAACCUGCAGAGCCAGAAGCCUGUUGGUGGGAAAUUCAUCCAAUCAUCUGAACAAAGCUUCGUGGAGUUUCUGCUAUGUGCUGAGCCCUGUGCCAGGUGCCAAGAUGGAAAAGAAAGGAAGGAAGACACCCAGGCCCAGCCCUUACAGAGCCUCCACUCUGACAAGACAGAUAAGGCCCACGAGCACCACUGGGCUUGGUAACUGCCUGAGGCAGCAUCUGACUGACCCUGAAUGUGGUGUGUUUGGGGUUUUCCCAUCUCAGCUGGUGGCAACUCUUACCCAGAUGCUAGCUAUGGCCUCCUACUUGCUUCCAGUCUCCUCCCAUGGCCACUCAGUCUACUCUCUACCUAGCAGCCAGUGAACUCAAUCAAAUUGUCCUCAGAUGACAAGAAACUGAUCUGUCUCCUUCACUGCCUAUAUUUCCAAGUCCAACUAAGCAACCUAAGCUGACUAAGACACACGGUAUGGUGGAAAAACCACUGGGUUGGAGUUUGAGUUCUGCUAACCGACUUUGCUGUCCUAGCAUUAUUUACAAUAGCCAAG
rnacentral:lncRNA from 1 species